UGAUGAACUUUGAUUGAACAUUGUUCAAUCAUUUUUUGAGGAAAAUUUAUUAGAUUUUAUGAUUACGAAUCUGCAAAGCUCUCAUUUCUUAAUUGACAGCGAUCGGUUCUCUGAACGAAUUUCGAAAAAUUGGGAAGCCUUUCAGGAGCGGCACUACUGCGUAUAACUGUAUUGUAUUUUAUGGAUAAAUGACCAAUUUCAGGAUGACUUUUCAAUAAACGGUCAUCUGACAUGCAGAAGGUCAUCUACUUUGGUUUUCUUCU